UACGUAGGCAGCGAGCGUUGUUCGGAGUUACUGGGCGUAAAGGGUGUGUAGGCGGUUGUUUUAAGUUUGGUGUGAAAUCUCCCGGCUCAACUGGGAGGGUGCGCCGAAUACUGAAUGACUUGGAGUGCGGGAGAGGAGAGUGGAAUUCCUGGUGUAGCGGUGAAAUGCGUAGAUAUUGGGAGGAACACCAGUGGCGAAGGCGGCUCACUGGACCGGUACUGACGCUGAGGAGCGAAAGCGUGGGGAGCGAACAGG
rnacentral:rRNA from 1 species